CAGCCGCGGUAAUUCCAGCUCCAAUAGCGUUAUAUUAAAGUUGUUGCAGUUAAAAGCUCGUAGUUGAACUUCGGGGUCUACCCAUUGGUCAGGCUUAAUUGUCUGCACUGGUGAGAUGGAUCUCUACCUUCUGAGGAACUUUCAUGCCAUUUAUUUGGUGUGAUGGGAAAUCAGGACUGUUACUUUGAAAAAUUAGAGUGUUUAAAGCAGACUAUCGUCUGAAUACAUUAGCAUGGAAUAAUGAAAUAGGACGGACUGAUUACUAUUUCGUUGGUUUCUAGGAUCACCGUAAUGAUUAAUAGGGAUAGUUGGGGGCAUUAGUAUUCAAUUGUCAGAGGUGAAAUUCUUGGAUUUAUUGAAGACUAACUACUGCGAAAGCAUUUGCCAAGGAUGUUUUCAUUAAUCAAGAACGAAAGUUAGGGGAUCGAAGACGAUCAGAUACCGUCGUAGUCUUAACCAUAAACUAUGCCGACUAGGGAUCGGACGAAGUUAAUUUUAUAAUGACGCGUUCGGCACCUUACG
rnacentral:rRNA from 1 species